GAUGAACGCUGGCGGCGUGCCUAAUACAUGCAAGUCGAGCGAAUGGAUUAAGAGCUUGCUCUUAUGAAGUUAGCGGCGGACGGGUGAGUAACACGUGGGUAACCUGCCCAUAAGACUGGGAUAACUCCGGGAAACCGGGGCUAAUACCGGAUAACAUUUUGAACCGCAUGGUUCGAAAUUGAAAGGCGGCUUCGGCUGUCACUUAUGGAUGGACCCGCGUCGCAUUAGCUAGUUGGUGAGGUAACGGCUCACCAAGGCAACGAUGCGUAGCCGACCAGAGAGGGUGAUCGGCCACACUGGGACUGGGACACGGCCCCGACUCCUACGGGAGGCAGCAGUAGGGAAACUUCCGCAAUGGACGAAAGUCUGACGGAGCAACGCCGCGUGAGUGAUGAAGGCUUUCGGGUCGUAAAACUCUGUUGUUAGGGAAGAACAAGUGCUAGUUGAAUAAGCUGGCACCUUGACGGUACCUAACCAGAAAGCCACGGCUAACUACGUGCCAGCCGCCGCGGUAA
rnacentral:rRNA from 1 species